ACGUAGGGUGCGAGCGUUAAUCGGAAUUACUGGGCGUAAAGCGUGCGCAGGCGGUUUUAUAAGCCAGAUGUGAAAUCCCCGGGCUCAACCUGGGAAUGGCAUUUGGGACUGUAAGGCUAGAGUAUGGCAGAGGAGACUAGAAUUCCUGGUGUAGCAGUGAAAUGCGUAGAUAUCAGGAGGAAUACCGAUGGCGAAGGCAGGUCUCUGGGUCAAUACUGACGCUCAUGCACGAAAGCGUGGGGAGCAAACAGGAUUAGAUACCCUGGUAGUCCACGCCCUAAACGAUGUCAACUGGUUGUUGGGGGAUUUAUUCUCUUAGUAACGAAGCUAACGCGUGAAGUUGACCGCCUGGGGAGUACGGUCGCAAGAUUA
rnacentral:rRNA from 1 species